rnacentral:rRNA from 1 species
UGGGGAAUUUUGGACAAUGGGCGAAAGCCUGAUCCAGCAAUGCCGCGUGUGUGAAGAAGGCCUUCGGGUUGUAAAGCACUUUUGUCCGGAAAGAAAUCCUUGGCUCUAAUACAGUCGGGGGAUGACGGUACCGGAAGAAUAAGCACCGGCUAACUACGUGCCAGCAGCCGCGGUAAUACGUAGGGUGCAAGCGUUAAUCGGAAUUACUGGGCGUAAAGCGUGCGCAGGCGGUUUGCUAAGACCGAUGUGAAAUCCCCGGGCUCAACCUGGGAACUGCAUUGGUGACUGGCAGGCUAGAGUAUGGCAGAGGGGGGUAGAAUUCCACGUGUAGCAGUGAAAUGCGUAGAGAUGUGGAGGAAUACCGAUGGCGAAGGCAACCCCCUGGGCCAAUACUGACGCUCAUGCACGAAAGCGUGGGGAGCAAACAGGAUUAGAUACCCAGGUAGUCCACGCCCUAAAACGAUGUCAACUAGUUGUUGGGGAUUCAUUUCCUUAGUAACGUAGCUAACGCGUGAAGUUGACCGCCUGGGGAGUACGGUCGCAAGAUUAAAACUUAAAUGAAUUGACGGGGUCAUAGCUGUUUCCU